rnacentral:lncRNA from 1 species
CUUCGUUUUGAGUACGAGAAAGUGCUGGUUUAGCAGCUGACAAGUGUUAGUACUCACAUUUCUCCAAGUGUCAGAUUUCAAAGAUCUUGCUCUUGUUCAUUAUAUUAUCCAGGCAUAGCUUGUGUCAUUGUGUAUUACAUUAUUGCCCUUCCCAGAUACUGCAUUUUUACAAAUUGAAGGUUUAUGGUAACCUUGCAUCAAGUAAGUCUAUUCGUGCCUUUUUUCUAACAGCAUAUGCUCACUUUAUGUCUCCGUUUCAGCAUUCUAUAGCAAUGAAGUAUUUCUAAAUUAAGGUAUGUACAUGGGUUUUUUAGACAUACACUAUUACACACUUAAUAGUAUACUGUAAGCAUAACCUGUAUAUGUACAGGGAAACCAAAAAUAGUGUGACUCAAUUUAUUGCAAUAUUUGUUUUAUUUCAGAGGUCUGGAACAGAAACAGAAAUAACUCUGAGGUGUGCCUGCUCUGCAUAAUAACAACAAGCAAUAUAUGUGUGAUUUAUAUUGACAUAUGGUUACUCGAUGAUUAUUUUUUAAGAUGCAAUAUUUUGUUUGGCAAAAGAAAUUUGAAUGGAAGGAAGUGGAACUCAGGAAACUAAGCAAUGGACUGGAAGUCACAUAUGACUUGAAACUUUCUUCCUGUUUUAUGAAUCUGAUAAAUACUCCACUGUCACUUCUCCAUAAAUUCUUCCUUCUCACCAACAGGAGGAAAUGGUUCUGGCCCAAUUUAUGGGAUUUCUUGAGGAAGUUUCAAUAGACUAAUGGACUCCAAUAGAAAAGUUUGUUCAAACUGAGAUCUUUCACAAAAUGUUUCAUGGUAAAUAUAGGUCUUAUUGUCAUACAUUCUAAACUCAUCAAGUUCUUAAACUUGAUGGCAAAAUCAUCCUCUGAGCUAUUUCAAGACAUUCUCUUAUGAAAAAACAAAAACAAAAAAAAUUCUAACAGACACUGAAUGCUAAAUAAACUGAAGACACACAGCUUGGGACUCUAACUGCUUUCCUUUCUACUAACAGAUACCAUCACUCUUACCUAGUUCUGAAUCCAAUCAAAACUUAGUAAAACAUGUUAUCUCAUCCAUUAAUGACAGAAUGGAAAAAAAGAGAAAGACCUUAUAAUUAUACACCAAAUCUAGCAGAAGGUAAGUCUUAAAUUAAGUUGUAACGACUCUGAACUUUUCAAACGAAACCAUACUGUCUUCCAGACUCAUACUGUGUAUGUAUAUUGGCCUGCCAGAACUGGUAUUUAUUAUGAGC